rnacentral:rRNA from 1 species
CAAGUCGCGGGAAUCCCCAGCAAUGGGGGGAACCGGCGUAAGGGGCAGUAAGGCGUAGGUACCUACCCCGUGGUCCGGGAUAGCCCGCCGAGAGGCGGGGUAAUACCGGAUGACCUCGGGAGAGCAAAGCUCCGGCGCCAUGGGCGGGGCCUACGUGAUAUUACCUAGUUGGCGGGGUAACGGCCCACCAAGGGGGAGAUGUCUAGCGGGUGUGAGAGCACGACCCGCGCCACUCGCACUGAGACACUGGCGAGACACCUACGGGUGGCUGCAGUCGAGGAUCUUCGGCAAUGGGGGCAACCCUGACCGAGCGAUGCCGCGUGGGCGACGAAGGCCUUCGGGUUGUAAAGCCCUGUCGAGGGGGAGAAAGCCGCAAGGCGGAUCCAUCCCUGGAGGAAGCUCGGGCUAAGUUCGUGCCAGCAGCCGCGGUAAGACGAACCGAGCGAACGUUGUUCGGAAUCACUGGGCUUAAAGGGCGCGUAGGCGGGCUGCCGCGUCCGGGGUGAAAUCCCACGGCUCAACCGUGGAACGGCCCCGGGUACGGGCGGCCUCGAGGGGGGUAGGGGCGUGCGGAACUGUGGGUGGAGCGGUGAAAUGCGUUGAUAUCCACAGGAACUCCGGUGGCGAAGGCGGCACGCUGGACCCCUUCUGACGCUGAGGCGCGAAAGCCAGGGGAGCGAACGGGAUUAGAUACCCCGGUAGUCCUGGCCCUAAACGAUGAGAACUGGGUAGUAGCCCGGGCAUGGGGUUACUGCCGCAGCCAAAGUGCUAAGUUCUCCGCCUGGGGAGUAUGGUCGCAAGGCUGAAACUCAAAGGAAUUGACGGGGGCUCACACAAGCGGUGGAGCAUGUGGCUUAAUUCGAGGCUACGCGAAGAACCUUAUCCUGGGCUUGACAUGUGC